UACGGAGGAUCCAAGCGUUAUCCGGAAUCAUUGGGUUUAAAGGGUCCGUAGGCGGUUUAGUAAGUCAGUGGUGAAAGCCCAUCGCUCAACGGUGGAACGGCCAUUGAUACUGCUAGACUUGAAUUAUUAGGAAGUAACUAGAAUAUGUAGUGUAGCGGUGAAAUGCUUAGAGAUUACAUGGAAUACCAAUUGCGAAGGCAGGUUACUACUAAUGGAUUGACGCUGAUGGACGAAAGCGUGGGGAUCAAACAGG
rnacentral:rRNA from 1 species